rnacentral:rRNA from 1 species
CCUACGGGCGGCAGCAGUGAGGAAUAUUGGUCAAUGGCCGGAAGGCUGAACCAGCCAUGCCGCGUGAAGGUCAGUGCCCUAUGGGCGUUAAACUUCUUUUGUGCGGGAGCAAUAAUGGUCACGUGUGGCCAGACGAGAGUACCGUACGAAUAAGCAUCGGCUAACUCCGUGCCAGCAGCCGCGGUAAUACGGGGGAUUCAAGCGUUAUCCGGAUUUAUUGGGUUUAAAGGGUGCGGAGGCGGUGAGGUAAGUCAGCGGUGAAAUGCCACCGCUCAACGGGGUGAAGUGCCAUUGAUACUGCCUGGCUGGAAUGCGGAUGCCGUGGGAGGAAUGUGUGGUGUAGCGGUGAAAUGCAUAGAGAUCACACAGAACACCGAUUGCGAAGGCAUCUCACGAAUCCGCGAUUGACGCUGAUGCACGAAAGCGUGGGUAUCAAACAGGAUUAGAUACCCUUGUAGUC